rnacentral:rRNA from 1 species
CAUUCACGGAGAGUUUGAUCCUGGCUCAGGACGAACGCUGGCGGCGUGCUUAACACAUGCAAGUCGAACGAUGAAGCCUUCGGGGUGGAUUAGUGGCGAACGGGUGAGUAACACGUGGGCAAUCUGCCCUUCACUCUGGGACAAGCCCUGGAAACGGGGUCUAAUACCGGAUAACACUCUGUCCCGCAUGGGACGGGGUUAAAAGCUCCGGCGGUGAAGGAUGAGCCCGCGGCCUAUCAGCUUGUUGGUGGGGUAAUGGCCUACCAAGGCGACGACGGGUAGCCGGCCUGAGAGGGCGACCGGCCACACUGGGACUGAGACACGGCCCAGACUCCUACGGGAGGCAGCAGUGGGGAAUAUUGCACAAUGGGCGAAAGCCUGAUGCAGCGACGCCGCGUGAGGGAUGACGGCCUUCGGGUUGUAAACCUCUUUCAGCAGGGAAGAAGCGAAAGUGACGGUACCUGCAGAAGAAGCGCCGGCUAACUACGUGCCAGCAGCCGCGGUAAUACGUAG